rnacentral:rRNA from 1 species
UACAGGGGGGGCAAGCGUUGUUCGGAAUUACUGGGCGUAAAGGGCUCGUAGGCGGCCGGCUAAGUCCGACGUGAAAUCCCCAGGCUUAACCUGGGAACUGCGUCGGAUACUGGCGGGCUUGAAUCCGGGAGAGGGAUGCGGAAUUCCAGGUGUAGCGGUGAAAUGCGUAGAUAUCUGGAGGAACACCGGUGGCGAAGGCGACAUCCUGGACCGGUAUUGACGCUGAGGCGCGAAAGCCAGGGGAGCAAACGGG